AGAACCCGGGGCGGAGCUCCCCAGCCCUCACUGCGGUCUUUCUUUCCAGUGGCCUCGGACGGUUAGGUCAUGUCUUUUCGAGCUCCUCUACACGUGGGGGGUGAUCAAGCCAGCUGGUGGCCCCCAUAGGUAUGAAACCAUUCACGACAAGGGAUUUCAGGACCAGCACCUGUAUGUGGACUUCAUGUGAUUUGUGAUACUUCUCCUGGGUGGUUACUAAGCUUACAAAGAGGUCAGAAGUACAAAAGGCCUUGGCCCCAGUGAAGGAACAGUGAUGAAAAGCCCAGAAACCUGUCCCCCAUGAAACUCCUGGCAGGGCAGAAGGAUUCAAUAAGGUGGCGCUACCAGCACAGGGAGGAACUGAUUCCUGGUUGAAGAAGAAUAAUUAUUAAUUCAUGUUGGGUUCCCUGUGCCAGUACACAUUCCCUAAGAGAUUUGGGUGGCUUAAUCAUGCAAAUUAAAAUAAUCUAAUAGGAUUUGCUACUUGAUAAGUGAAAGUAAUUACUCAUCUUCUCCCUGUUGACUUGAUUAUUGUUAUUUUAAACAUAAUUCUCCUUCUGGUAUAAUGAGUGGCUGAAAUGACAUGGAAAUGUUAAAUAAAACCUUAUAUAUAAAACUCCU
ensembl:lncRNA